ensembl:snRNA U6 U6 spliceosomal RNA
AAUUGGCAGUACAAUAAUCCAGUACAAACUCGAACAUUACAGAGAAAAUUAGUGUGGCCCCUGUGCAAGGAUGACAUGAAAAUUCAUGAAGCAUUCCAUAGUAAU